AAUGGAAGCUGUAGAAACCAACCGUGUGGACAAAUGAAAAAAUGCCUUUGUCUAGAGAAUGCAGUGAUCCUACAAAAAUGUGGAGGUCUCUCUGUCUGGUUUAGGACAGCUGACUAAGUCCUGAUCAUUCCCCUCGGUACAAC
rnacentral:snoRNA from 1 species